GUCCGGGGGCGACACACGUGCUACAUGGCUUUACAGUAAGACGCAAUAUCGCGAGAUGGAGCGAACCUAUAAAAUAGGUCCCUAUUCGGAUUGGAGUCUGCAACUCCACCCCCUGAAGCCGGAAUCCCUAGUAAUCCUAGAUCAACCAUGCUACGGUGAAUACGUUCCCGGGUCUUGUACUCACCGCCCGUCACACCAUGGGAGUUGAUUUCACUCGAAGCCCGAAUACUAAACUGGUUAUGGUCCACAGUGGAAUCGUCAACUGGGGUGAAGUCGUAACAAGGUAACCGUACAGAACCUGCGGUUGGAUCACCUCC
rnacentral:rRNA from 1 species